AAAGAGUUAAUCACGUUUACAAAUAUAGGAAGGAUUCUCAGUUGGUCCAGGUUUAAAACAGGAAAAGGCAUGCAAUGUUUAAUGGAAUUGACUGAUAAAAUUCAAUCCACUCAAGAUGAUAAGGAAAUGGGUGGAAAACAUAUAUAAAACUAUAUAUUAGAAUAGCAUACAUAACCAACAAGCAAAUUCAAGUGGACAAAUGUUGCUUGAAAUCACAGCCAUGUUCCUUCUCUGAAACUUCAAUUGCUUUAUUAUACUAUUAUAGGCAUAGCCAAGUCAAGCCUGCACCGCGUGGAGCCUAAUCAAUACAAUCAGAGACUGCUGUUUGCCUUUUCCAUUUUGCAUCUCAUACUGCUCUGUCUUCUCAAUAUUUACUUGCCAUUUCUUGCUCACCUCCCCUGCUUUUAGUUUUCCUUGCACCUUUUCUACCUCUUCUUUCCAUUCCAAAACAAGCUAUGGCUGAUGCAAUUCUUUCUGCUCUCGCGAGUACAAUCGUGGGAACUUGGAUUCCUUAUUUCUUCAAGAGCAUGGACUUGCUGGGGGCCUAGAGACUGAGCUUGAAAAUCUCAAGCGCACGUUCAGAACCAUUCAAGCUGUGCUGCAAGAUGCAGAGGAGAAGCAGUGGAAGAGUGAGCCUAUCAAGGUGUGGCUCAGCGACCUCAAGGAUGCAGCUUAUGUUGUUGAUGAUGUACUGGAUGAGUUUGCAAUUGAAGCUCAGUGGCUUCUGCAGCGAAGAGAUCUCAAAAAUCGAGUAACAUCCUUCUUUUCUUUUGGUCAUAAUCCACUAGUUUUUCGACAAAGGAUGGCUCAUAAAUUGAAGAAUGUUAGAGAAAAACUAGAUGCCAUUGCCAAGGAGAGACAAAGUUUCCACCUAACAGAGGGGGUUGUGGAGAUGGAAACAAAUAGUUCUGUUCAGCGUCAGACUUGGUCUUCGGUGAAUGAAUCAGAAAUUUAUGGAAGAGGCAAGGAGAAAGAAGAACUAGUCAACAUCCUGCUCUCUAAUGCAGACAAUCUCCCUAUUUAUGCUAUAUGGGGAAUGGGGGGACUAGGAAAAACAACACUUGUUCAACUGGUCUUCAAUGAAGCAAGUGUUAAACAGCAAUUCGUUUGAGGAUCUGGGUGUGUGUAUCUACUGAUUUCGAUCUCAGAAGAUUAACAAGAGCCAUCAUAGAGUCCAUUGAUGGUGCCUCUUGUGAUCUUCAAGAAUUGGAUCCCUUGCAACAUGCCUCCAACAGAAAGUUAACUGGAAAGAAGUUUUUGCUUGUAUUGGAUGAUGUGUGGGAUGAUUAUGGUGAUAGGUGGAAUAAAUUGAAGGAGGUAUUAAGGUGUGGGCUAAAGGUAGUGCUGUCAUAGUAACUACGCGUAUUGAGAUGGUUGCUCAGAAUGGCAACAGCUUUUGUCAAGCACAUGGGGAGAUUGUCUGAAGAAGAUUCUUGGCAGUUGUUUCAACAGCUUGCAUUCGGGAUGAGAAGGAAAGAGGAGCGGGCACGCCUGGAAGCCAUUGGAGUAUCAAUAGUGAAGAAGUGUGGUGGUGUUCCUUUAGCUAUAAAGGCACUAGGGAACCUAAUGCGGUUAAAAGAAAGUGAAGAUCAGUGGAUAGCUGUCAAAGAAAGUGAGAUUUGGGAUCUAAGAGAAGAAGCAACGAGAUCUUACCUGCUUUGAGGUUGAGUUACUAAUCUAUCACCACAUUUGAAGCAAUGCUUUGCGUAUUUCGCUAUAUUUCCAAAAGAUCACGUGAUGAGGAGGGAGGAGCUGGUUGCUUUGUGGAUGGCAAAUGGCUUUAUUUCUUGCAGAAAGAAAUGGAUUUGCACGUCAUGGGCAUUGAGAUAUUCAAUGAACUAGUGGGAAGGUCAUUUCUGCAAGAGGUCGAGGAUGAUGGAUUUGGCAACAUAACAUGUAAAAUGCAUGAUCUUAUGCAUGAUCUUGCACAAUCCAUUGCAGUACAAGAAUGCUAUAACAGAAGGCGAUGGGAGUUGGAAAUUCCUAAAACUGCCCGUCAUGUUGCUUUUAUAACAAAUCAGUAGCUUCGUCUUCUAAGUUCUCAAGGUCCUAUCACUUCGCUCACUUCUUUGAGGAAUGAAGAGUAUGGAUGGAUGGGGAAAGAUUCCUGGUCGAAAACAUCGAGCCUUGAGUUUAAGAAUAUCCGGGUGAAGAAAUUGCCGAAGUCAAUUUGUGAUUUGAAACAUCUAAGGUAUCUAGAUGUGUCAGGCUCGAAGAUCAAAACACUGCCUGAAAGUACAACCUCUCUCCAAAACCUCCAGACACUAGAUCUGAGAGAUUGCAAUAACUCAUCCAAUUACCAAAAGGUAUGAAGCACAUGAAAAGUCUUGUCUAUCUUGACAUCGGGUUGUUAUUCACUUCGAUUUAUGCCUUGUGGAAUGGGGCAAUUGAUAUUCCUGCGAAAACUUACCCUGUUCAUUGUGGGUGGGAGAAUGGUCGUCGCAUAAGUGAGCUGGAAGGGCUGAAUAAUCUUGCUGGUGAAUUGAGUAUCACAGAUCUUGUGAAUGUUAAGAAUUUAAAAGAUGCCAAAGUGCCAAUUUGAAGUUGAAGACAGCUCUUUUAUCACUGACUUUAUCUUGGCAGGAAUGGAGAUUACCUUUUUGGCCCUCUGUCAUAUGUGCCACCAGAACAAAGAAAGAGUGUGGAUAUGGAGGUCCUUGAAGGGCUUCAACCUCAUUCAAAUCUGAAGAAGUUGAGGAUAUAUGGAUAUGGAGGUUCAACAUUUCCUAAUUGGAUGAUGAAGCUACCAUAUCUGGUAGAGAUGGAGCUAUCAGCGCACCACUGUGAACAACUUCCACCAUUGGGGAAACUACAGUUCCUCAAGAGUCUUAAAUUAUGGGGAAUGGAUGGUGUGAAGAGUAUUGACAGCAAUGUGUAUGGAGAUGGGCAGAAUCCAUUCCCAUCUUUGGAGACGCUGGCUUUCUAUUCAAUGGAGGGAUUAGAGCAAUGGGCUGCGUGUACUUUUCCUUGCCUUCGAGAUUUGAGGAUAGUCGGUUGCCCUGUGUUGAACGAAAUACCAAUUAUACCCUCCGUCAAAACAUUACACAUCACGGGAGUGAAUGCUUCGUUGCUGAUGUCAGUUAGGAAUCUCACUUCUAUCACCUCCCUUGAUAUAGGAGGGAUUCACGCUAUAAGGGAGCUUCCCGAUGGGUUUUUGCAAAAUCAUACCCUCCUUGAAAGCUUAGAAAUUGGUGGGAUGCGAGAUCUGGAGUCUUUGUCAAAUAGGGUAUUAGAUAACCUUUCUGCUCUUAAAAGCUUGAGGAUUUUUGAAUGCGAGAAACUUGAAAGCUUGCCAGAGGAAGGUCUUCGUAACCUCAAUUCCUUGGAGCUUUUAAGCAUAAAGUAUUGUGGAAGAUUAAAUUGUCUGCCAAUAAAUGGGAUGUGUGGCUUAUCUUCUCUUCGCGAGUUAUCUAUUGGAAGUUGUGAUAAAUUCACAUCUCUAUCAGAGGGAGUGCGGCAUCUGACGACACUUGAGGAUUUGAAGCUUGAAGGAUGUCCAAAGCUGAAUUCAUUGCCAGAGAGUAUCCAACAUCUCACUUCACUCCAAUCUCUAAGAAUAUGGAACUGCGAGGGAUUAGCUUCUUUGCCAAAUCAGAUUGGAUAUCUCACUUCUCUCCAAUCUCUAUACAUUCGGGGUUGUCCAAAUUUGAAGAAAAGGUGUGAGAAAGAUUUAGGCGAGGACUGGCCUAAGAUAGCUCACAUUCCUAGCAUUGACAUUAGAUGAGAAUAAAUUUUAUUUUUUUAGUUUUAAUUUGUUGUAAUUUUUUAAAUAACUUUAUCAAAUUCAUUAUUGUUAUAUUUUUCAUAUAAAUGUGUAAAAAUAAUUGAUUCAUGAUUAUUAUGGGGACAUUGGGGAUUGUGAUAGAUUAUUGUAUAGAGAUUAGACUUUUUGGCAUCGCAUUUAUGGGUAUAAAGAUUUUAUUGUAAUUUCCUUCCUCACAUAUUUUCUUUUGGUGAAAUUGCUUUUAGCUAAAGAUUACAUGAACCACGCUACGCAAACUGGAAAAAAAAAUCUUGGCAUUCAAACAUAUUUUAAAAAACAAGAAAAUGUUGGGAUCUGGAUCAUCAACUCGGCUAGGCUAGAUCAAAUAAGUUUCUCCUAUCUCACAACAUCUUAUGCACCAAACAAAGAAAUCAAAAUAGCGACCAUUUUAAGAAAAAAUAACAUUAAUAAAAAAAUAACAAAAAUACAUUUUAAUCUAACAGGUGUCAUAAAAGAAUUGAGAAUCCAAGGGGAAGAAAUGAUCUAAGCAAACCCCAAGUGCGCUUCUGGACAUGCAACCCAUGUAUAAGAUAAUGAUAAUUUUUUAAAAAUCUUUUAAAAAAUAAAAAAUAGAAUACAAAGCGUAUAAACAGAAAAAAAAAAAAUAUUGUGAUCUUUCUAACACUCUUGAAUGGGCAAUUUUCAUUAUCUCCUCUCGAUGUUCCACCUAAAACAUGUAGAGUGAUUUAACAUGAUGACCCGUUAACAAAAUGCACCAACAAUAAUUUUUAUUUAAAUAUUAUUUUUUAAAUAUCAAACUGGCCCUGUUUUAACCCACAAUUACAAAAUAAUUGAAUUGAAAAGACAAAUAUACCCUUUCACCCUAGUUUAAAAAAUCUUGACUUAAGGAUGUAAUUAAGUAAAUAAAUUGUUCAUUUGAAAAGUAGAAAACGGGCCGGCCCUUGUCUUGACCCAAUGAUUACCAAAAGACCAAAAAAAAAAAUUACGAGUAACCUUAAGAACACAGUUAAAAUAUAUUUGUUUUAAAGGGCAACAAAGUUAAUUCAUUAUGUUUUUUUAAUUAAAAAAUUAUAAUCACCCCUCAAUUGAAGCAAUUUUUAUUGCAUAUCAAGGGCAUCUGAGUCAUUACACUAUAUAAUAUAUAUAUAAAAAUACAUUCUAGAUCCUAAUCAAAUUAAUAAUGAUAGAUAUGUCCAAUUACAAUUGGACCCUGAAAAUAAUGUAAAUGAGUUUUUUAAGGUUAAAAUAAUAAAUAUACUAUUGUCGUCCACAUUUCUCUAAGUUUGUGUGCGCAGUAAAUUCAAAAUUUGUUUUAGUUUUUUUUAUGUAACUUUAUUUUUUUGUUAAUUUUUAAAUAUUUUUGAAUUCACACCUCUUUUAUUUAAUGAAACAGGCCGCAUACUAUUUUCAGAGAUCCGUUUAAGAGGGGCAAUAGCAUCCUUGUGAGUGCAAUUUUGUUCCCUUAUAUCUUUCCACUUGAUAUCGCCACCACAGCUUGAUCUCAUUCUCUCCGAUGUUGAUGUUUAUUGGAUUAGUCAUAUGUGAAGCUUAAACUCAAGAUGUUGUUGCUGAAGGGCUCUGGUAUUUUAUUUUAAUUUUAUCCUAAUCCACCCUUACUUUCUUCAUUCUUUUUUCUUAUAAGAUAACUGCAAAGUGUUUUAUAAUUAUGAUUAAUGAGCAAUCUGAUAAAAAAAACCAGGAAUGACCUUGAGCAAGAAUACAUCUAUUGGUUGGUCUCUUGGUGGUUAUCCUGGUCCUCCGGGACCAUACUACUGUGGUGUUGGUGUUGACGAAGCCUUCGGCAUUGUUGAUGCACAGUAGACGGCAUGCCUGUAUGCCGGUAUGAACAUUAGUGGUAUGAACGGAGAAGUGAUGUCGGGCGAGGUAAAAUAAAAGAACGAGCAUAUCCCCUCUACCAUUUUGAUCUUACAGUUCUAGUUUAGAACCAUUCUAAUCUUGUUCUGUCUUACAACGUUAAAGUGGAAAUUUCAUGCAGUGGAAAUUUCACGCUGGACCUUCAGUCGGUAUCUCUGUUGGAGAUGAAUUAUGGGCUGCAGCUCGGUACAUUCUGGAACUAUUCCCAUUUCUAUUGUUUUCUGAAAUGUCUAUAUUUAUGUUAACAGAGGAUUACUGAGGUUGCUGGAGUUGUGCUUUCAUUCGAUCCUAAGCCAACUCAGGUCAGUUUUUAUUUCAUCGUACCCUACUGGAUGCUGCCAGUGUGCAUGUUUUCAGUACUUUUAUUGUCUGAGCUCUCAGGAAAUUGGACUUCUGUUUUGUCAAGAAGAUUGGAAAGGAGCGGGGGCACACAAAAAUUACAGGUUCAAAUUUUUUUCGUUGAUUGAAGCUUAAUUUAUUUGCUUCUUUGUUCCACACUUGCUAUUUUUUUUUUAAUCUUAUACUUGAAAAUUCUUCACAUUUUCUGUGCUAUGUCUAUGAGAAAUGAAGGAGGCUGUGAAGUCAUCAAGAAAGCAGUUGAAAAGCUUGGUAUGAGGCAUAAAGAACAUAUCGCAGUCUAUGGCGAAAGGGAUUGAGCAGAGACUUGUUAAUUAUUUGGAGACAAACCAUGUCCCACCAUGUGCAAGUGGGAAUCCCCCACUUUGCACACGGUGGAGGCAACGGUGGACACAAAUGAUGAUGUCCUUCCCUCAUCCCUUGUAUAUGUAUAUGAGCUGUGUGUGUGCAUGUAUAACAGUGUGUGAAGAGAAGAAGAGAGAGUUGCAGUUGUGUGAAACACAAAGAGAAACACAUAGAGAGAGCUAGGGAGAGUUGAGUUGAGUUGAGAAGAAUUUUCUCAUCCUCCUUGUUUUGUUGUUUGUAUUGUUUGUAAGCUUGAUUAAUACAAACCAAUAGCUCCGUGGAGUAGGCAAGUUGCCGAACCACGUAAAUUGUGUGUGUUUGAGUUCUGGAAAUAUCCCAACAACUGGUAUCAGAGCUUGUUCUUGACGAAGAGGGUGUUUGAUCCAAACUCAAAAAUCAAUGUUCUCAAAACGUGUUUUUGACCAUACCAUCGUGUAGAGGACAACCGGACGAAUCCACUGGUGAAAACCCGGCGAAGAACCGACGUCCUGCAUGCCCGCACGCGCCACCGCACAGACGGCCCACGCGCAGCAACGCGCCUCACGCGCGACACGCUCCUUCUUCACCCGUUUUUCUGCAAAACGGGUCGGGUCUGACCCGCCACGUCAGCCAAGUCGCACGGUCAACGCCACGUCACCUGCCACGUCAUCCAUCUGGGUUUUGAUCUGGUGCACCGCAGAUGGUAAUCGUCUGACACGUGGCUGCAUCAUCACCGUCGAAGGGUUUGAUCCGGUGCGACUCAGGCUCUAAUCGGAGGACACGUGGACUAAUCUGCACCGUCACUGAGUUUUGAUCCGGUGCGACUAAAGGCUGUAAUCUGCUGACACGUGGCUUCAUCAGAACCGCUACUGAGUUUUUAUCCGGUGUGACGCAUGCCUUACUCUGUCUGACACGCGGCUGCAUCUGAACCGUCCGUUAAUCCAAAACUUUAAUUGCUAAAAUCUGAGCCAUCCAAAGUCCGAUUGGGGUGAUCUCAGUGUCAUUUCCAAGGUUUUUGGCCGUUCCGGACACAUCUGUAAGGUCAGAUUUGGCAAAUUCUAAUCAGAGAAAUAUUAAAAAUGGCAGAUGAAAUAAAGGCUGCAGGAAUUGAAAAAUUUGACGGAACAGAUUUUGGAUACUGGAAAAUGCAGAUUGAGGAUUAUUUAUAUGGGAAGAAACUUCAUCUUCCCUUAUUGGGAAGCAAACCAGAAAAGAUGGAAGAAGAAGAAUGGCAACUUCUUGAUAGACAAGUUCUGGGCAUUAUCCGGCUAUCGUUAUCAAGAAGAGUUGCUCACAAUGUUACGAAAGAAAAAUCCACUGCAAAAUUGAUGGAAGCCUUGUCUGGGAUGUAUGAGAAGCCAUCAGCAAAUAAUAAAGUGCACCUGAUGAAAAAGUUGUUCAACUUGAAGAUGGUCGAAAACGCUUCUGUGACACAACACCUCAACAACUUUAAUACCAUCACAAAUCAAUUAUCAUCUGUUGCGAUUGAGUUUGAUGAUGAGAUUCGUGCACUCAUCUUGCUAGCUUCACUUCCAAGCAGUUGGGAAGGCAUGAGGACAGCCGUGAGCAAUUCAGCUGGAAAAUCCAAACUGAAGUAUGAUGACAUUCGAGACUUGAUUUUGGCUGAAGAAGUGCGAAGGAAAGACUCGGGUGAAAGUUCAAGCUCAGGAUCAGCUCUCAACAUCAACACUCGAGGGAGGAGACACGAUAGAGGCUCAUCCAGAGGCAGAUCAAAAUCCAGAUACAGAAGUAAAAGCAAGUUUGGAUCCAGAAAGCAGGUUGAAUGUUGGAAUUGUGGCAAACCUGGUCAUUUCAGUAGGAAUUGCACAAAACCGAAGAAACCUGAAGUUGACUCUGCAAACGCUACCACAGAUGAGGUACAAGAUGCUUUAAUUCUUGCUGUGCAAAGUCAAAUUGAUGAGUGGAUUCUUGAUUCUGGUGCUUCAUUCCACUGUACGCCACACAAUGAAAUACUGCAAAAUUAUGUUGGAGGAGAUCAUGGUGUAGUCUAUCUGGCCGAUGGAACACCACUGAAGAUUGUGGGUAUAGGAGAUGUGCAAAUCAAGACAAUGAAUGGACCUUGUAGAAUGUAAGGCAUGUUCCUGAAUUAAAGAAGAAGUUGAUCUCUGUCGGACAACUUGAUGAUAGUGGUCAUUCAAUACUUUUUGCUGGAGGAAUGUGGAAAGUAUCAAAGGGAGCAAUGGUUUUAGCUCGUGGAAAGAAAACCGGCACCCUGUAUAUGACCACAAGAUUUGCAGACAUCAUUGCCUCAACUGAAGCAGAAAAUCAAGCACAUCUAUCGCAUUGUAGACUUGGCCAUAUGAGUCAAAAGGGGAUGAAGAUAUUUAGUCGAAGGGAAAGCUGCCAGAGUUAAAAAAUGUCGAUCUAGACAUUUGUGAAAGCUGUGUUCUUGGAAAACAGAAGAAGGUCAGUUUCUUGAAGGUUGGCAGGACCUUACGACCAAGAAAGCUAGAACUGGUACACACAGAUUUAUGGGGACCGUCUCCAGUAGCAUCUCUUGGAGGUUCUCGGUAUUAUGUGACUUUCAUUGAUGACUUCAGCAGGAAGGUAUGGGUUUACUUUCUGAAAAAUAAAUCUGAUGUGUUUGAAACAUUCAAGAAAUGGAAGGCUAUGGUUGAGACUGAAUCAGGUCUAAAGUUGAAAUGCUUGAGAUCUGAUAAUGGAGGAGAAUACAUUGAUGGAGGUUUCAAGGAGUAUUGUGCUGUCAAUGGUAUCAGAAUGGAAAAGACCGUUCCAGGCACACCGCAACAGAAUGGCGUUGCUGAACGGAUGAACAGGACCAUCAAUGAACGAGCUAGAAGCAUGAGGUUGCAUUCAGGGUUACCUCAAACAUUCUGGGCUGACGCAGUUCAUACCGCAGUUUACUUGAUCAACCGUGGACCAUCAGUUCCUUUGGAAUUCAGAUUGCCCGAGGAAGUAUGGAGAGGAAAAGAGGUACGACUCUCUCAUUUGAAGGUCUUUGGGUGUGUUUCCUAUGUUCACAUAGAUUCUGAUGCUCGCAACAAGUUAAGCCAAAUCCAAGAAAUGUUUCUUCAUUGGCUAUGGAGAUGAAGAAUUUGGAUUUCGGUUCUGGGAUGAUCAGAAUAGAAAGAUUAUCAGAAGCAGGAACGUGAUCUUCAAUGAGAAAGUUAUGUACAAAGACAGAUCAAGUGAGAAACAGAGAUGGCUGAUUCAGAUACAAGUCCACAAAGAUCUGAAUUCAUAAGAUUAGAAGGGCUUCCCGAUGUUACUAAGCAGAACAACAAUCAAGAGUCUUUACAAGAAGAUUCAAGCACAUCUGUGCCCACUUCCACACAAGAAGAUGCGGAGCAAUUGAACCAGCUGUUCGCAGGUCUUCGAGGACGAUAAAGCCCCCGCAACGGUUCACACUUUUACUGAAUUAUAUUUUGCUGACAGAUGGUGGUGAACCGUUACUUAUGAAGAAUCCUUACAAGAUGGAAACUCAAGCAAGUGGGAGUUAGCCAUGAAGGAUGAGAUGAGUUCGUUGCUGAAGAACAAGACUUGGGAGCUAACACAUUACCUGAAGGAAAGAAGGCCUUGCAAAAUAAGUGGGUUUACAGAGUGAAGACUGAGCAUGACGGAAGCAAACGGUUCAAGGCAAGACUUGUUGUCAAAGGGUUUCAACAAAGAAAGGCAUUGACUACUCUGAGAUUUUUUCUCCAGUUGUGAAGCUCACAACAAUCAGAGUUGUUCUGGGGAUAGUAGCUGCAGAAAAUUUACAUCUUGAACAGUUAGAUGUAAAAACAGCAUUCCUUCAUGGUGACUUGGAGGAAGAUAUUUACAUGCAACAGCCAGAGGGGUUUGCAAUGCAAGGAAAGGAGAAUCAAGUCUGCAAGCUACAGAAAAGCCUAUACGGUUUGAAGCAAGCUCCAAGACAGUGGUACAAGAAGUUUGACAACUUCAUGUGCAGUUCCGGGUAUACAAGAUGCCAAGCUGAUCAUUGUUGCUAUGUCAAACAUUUUGACAACUCCUACAUCAUUCUACUAUUAUAUGUAGAUGAUAUGUUGAUUGCAGGAUCCAGCAUUGAGGAGAUUGAUAAGCUGAAACAGCAGUUGUCGAAACAGUUUGAAAUGAAGGAUCUGGGAGCUGCUAAACAAAUACUUGGCAUGAGAAUCAUCAGAGAUAAAGACAAAGGCAUACUAAAGCUCUCACAAACAGAGUAUGUCAAGAAGGUUCUCAGCAGGUUUAGUAUGGAUAAUGCUAAACCAGUAAGUACACCACUGGGGAAUCAUUUCAAGCUCAGCAAAGAUCAGUCACCAAAACUGAGCUAGAAAGUGGAUACAUGGAUAAGAUUCCAUACGCCUCAGCUAUCGGCUCUUUGAUGUAUGCUAUGGUCUGUACCAGACCAGACAUUGCCCAUGCAGUGGGAGUUGUAAGCCGAUAUAUGAGCAAUCCUGGAAAGCAGCAUUGGGAGGGUGAAAUGGAUCAUGAGGUACUUAAAAGGUUCAUCGGAAACUUGUCUCAGUUUCACAGCUGGUGGUUUGAAACUUGAAGGUUUUGUAGAUGCUGAUCUAGCAGGAGAUGUUGAUAGCAGAAAGAGCACUACAGGAUAUGUUUAUACUCUAGGAGGUACUGCUGUUUCCUGGAGUUCUACCUUGCAAAAGAUCGUUGCUCUUUCAACAACAGAAGCUGAAUAUGUUGCAGUCUCAGAAUCUGCAAAAGAGAUAGUAUGGUUGCAGAGUUUCUUGAAAGAAUUGGGCAAGUUGAAUGGAAAAGGUACUUUGUAUAGCGACAGUCAGAGUGCAAUCUUCCUUGCCAAGAAUCCAGCAUUUCACUCCAGGACGAAGCAUAUUCAGAUCAAAUAUCACUUCAUCCGACAACUGCUGGACGACGAGCAACUAAUGCUAGAAAAGGUCUGUGGAAGCAAGAAUCCAGCAGACAUGUUAACCAAAGGAGUUACACUUGAGAAACUGAAGUUGUGCAAAACUUCAGUUGGCCUUCAAGGAUAAAAGAUAAUUUCAUUGUUUGUCUCCAAGUGGGAGAUUGUUAAUUAUUUGGAGACAAACCAUGUCCCACCAUGUGCAAGUGGGAAUCCCCCACUUUGCACAUGGUGGAGGACACAAAGUGGAGGCAACGGUGGACACAAAUGAUGAUGUCCUUCCCUCAUCCCUUGUAUAUGUAUAUGAGCUAUGUGUGUGCAUGUAUAACGGUGUGUGAAGAGAAGAAGAGAGAGUUGCAGUUGUGUGAAACACAGAGAGAAACACAUAGAGAGAGCUAGGGAGAGUUGAGUUGAGUUGAGAAGAAUUUUCUCCUCCUCCUUGUUUUGUUGUUUGUAUUGUUUGUAAGCUUGAUUAAUACAAACCAAUAGCUCCGUGGAGUAGGCAAGUUGCCGAACCACGUAAAUUGUGUGUGUUUGAGUUCUGGAAAUAUCCCAAGACUUACCGGACAGCGGCACGAAACAGAGGAUAUUAGUACUUUCAAUUGGGUAAGAGGGAAAAGAAACAAUUUCCUUGCUGCUUAAGUUCUUUUAUUAUAAGAUGUCUUACAUUAGUUUCUUUACAUCUUGUUCGAUUGACAAGGUUUUGCUAAUCGCAAAGCUUCCAUUUGUGUUGGCCGUGACAUAGAGAAAGAAGGAAAGGGGUAUUAUGAGGAAAUAAGGCCUGCUUCAAACAUGGAUCUAUAUCUUGCGACUUCCAUGAUUGUAGAAACCACCAUCCUGUGGAAGCCAUGAGAAUCUCAAGCAACACCUCAAACAAAAUAAUGUUGUUGGAAGUAGUACUUACAAGGAACCUUGGAAAGAUUUGUGUCAGUAGGAUGGAUAUCUUUCAAUUUGUUUCCAGUUGUAUUUGAGGCUGCAAGGGAUGUUAUUCCUUUGCUUGCUUGUCUUAUGAUUGAUUCGGCAUUUUGUGUUGAAUAAUGAAAUCUUAACUUUAAUCAUGUGAUGUUUUGUAUUAAAAAGAUUGGAAAAUAAAAUAAAGCCCUUGGAAGCUUAAAAAGAGGGUAUAAAUGAUUGAAGGGUAGUGUGGUAAUUGACCAAUAGUUGAUAAAUAUAAAUAAGAAAAAAAAAAAGAAUGAUAUGAUUUUGAGAGAAAGAGAGCUGCGGGAGAGAAAGGAAAAGAGGAAGAAGAAGAGAAGAAAAGAAAGGAGAGAAGGAAAGGAAGGAGAAGAGAAGUAGAUGAUAUAAGUAAAAAGGUAAGAUUUAUAGUUUUAAGUGUAUAAUAUGUUAAAUUUCGGUUUUGAUUAAUUUUGAGAGUUUUGAAGUUUGUAUUUUGAGUUAAUUGAUGAAUUAAUUUGAAGGUUAGGAGUUGAUUAUUGUGGGUAUUUGAUUAAUUAGUUGAUUUUGAGAGAUUGAAUUGAAGGAUAAUGAUUUUGAGUUAUGAUUUUGUUUAAAUGGGGAAAUUGUGUUAGAAAUCAGGGGAUAACAGUAGGUAAUCUGUUUAAAUUCUGGGUUUGAGGUUGAAGAUGACGAAAAUUCAAUUUGGUCCCUCAAUUUGCGGAAAUUGCAGUUUAGUCCCCGAACUUUGGAAAUUUUACAGAUUGGUCCCUGGGACAUAAAUUGAGGUUCUGAAAAGAACUGAGGAUGAUUUAAGGGCAAAAUUCCAGUAUAAUUAAUAUUUUCAGUUUGGUCCUCCAAUUUGACAAAUUACGAUUUGACCCCUAAUAUUUUGAUAAAAUCACAUUUUGGACCUUGGGGCAUAAUUCAAGAUUCUGGACAAAGAUAAGGACGAAUUAUGGAUAAAUUUCAGUAUGGAUAUAUAUUUACAAUUCGGUCCUCAAAUUUUGGUAAAAUUACGUUUUGGUCCCUGUUUUGGAAAAUUGUCGUUUUAGUCCCUAAACCUAGGAGAUUAAGCCCGGUUUUAUUUUAUGCAUUGGGAUCUUUUGUUUGAUUUUUUUUUGAGUAUAUUUCAUAUAUUUAUUGUACGUUCUCCUAACGAUCCUUAAUCGGAUUUUCUGGUCUUUUGCCUGACAUUCCUUUAGUUUAGUAUUUUCCGGGUGAGUGGAAUAAUAUUUAAUAUGCAUAUAAUAUAAAUAAAUAUGUAUGUUGAUUAUACAAUGAGUACAACUAGUAAAUUUAUUGAAUAUUUAUAUAUGUUGCUUUAUUUUCCGAGUACUCAUUUAUUCUUGAAUUUGCACUCGCAAUCUGAUAAAGUAAAUUCUAUUUGAUAUGAUAUACGUUUCUUUGAUGAUUCUGUGAAUAUCUAUUAUGCCUUGAUAUGGGACUUGUCAGUAACUCCAUGCUAAUGGAGAAUAGUUAGCAUGUGUGCACAUAGUAUUCUGUAUACCUAGCUGGUGAGAGAGGCAUCAGCCUAUGGCGAUUGAUCAUCCCACAGUGGUCACCGACGGGUGUCAUCUGGUCACCGACGGGUGUCAUCUGGUCACCUACGGGUGUCAUAUGAUCUCUGACAUGUAAUCCACUACGUUAUGAUAAUAUGUUACGUUAUGAUAUUAUGUUUAGUAAGUAUAUGUAUAUGUAUAUCACUACAAGAUUUUACAGUUUUACCGACGGAAAUAUUCCGUCGGUGUGUGACAGAACAUUCGUCGGUAAAGUAUUUACCGACUAUAUUACCGACGGAAUACACCCGUCGGAAUACCUUUUGUCGAUGAUUCCACAUUCCGUCGCCAUAUCGGUCGAUAAUACAAAAAAAACAUUUACCGAUGGUUUUACCGACGGACUGUGCGCGCCAAAAAAAAAAAAAGUUUCCCGCUUGGAAUAUACCGACGGAAAAUAUUCCGUCGGUGUUAUGUAAAUACCGACGGACUAUCUCCGUCGGCAAAAGUGUCGGUGAUAUUUCGUACCGACCGAAUAAAUCCGUUUGUAAAUUUGUCGGUAUUUUUAUACCGACGGAUUAUCUCUGUCGGUGAAUAUGUCGGUGAUGGGAUGGAAUACCGCAGACACUGUCCAAUGCCGACGGAUUGUUUCCGUCGGUAAAUCCCUGUGUAAUUUUUUUUUUAAUUAUUUAAAAAAAAUAAUAUAAAUUAAUAGUAAUACAAACCAAUUAUGCAAAUAAAAUUUAUAUUAAGCAACAAAAACUCAAAGUUAAAUAAUAUUCAUUACAAAAUGAAUGUGUUUAAAAAAAAACAAUUAAUAUAAAGGAGGAGGAGGAGGGUGGGGGUUAGGCGGCCAAAAAGGAUUAGGCGCACAUGUUCCACCUUGUGUCAUGUUCAUGACCAUUUGACGAAGCUCUUCAUAGGCCGCUCUUUGUUGUUCAGACUCUGCUCUGCGUUGUUCGUCCGCCAAUUUGUGUUGUUCGUUCGCCAAUCUUUGCUCUUCUUUGAGUUGUGUGUACGCCUCUGAUAGAUGGUCGCACCUUUGCUGCAAGGCCACAAACUCCUUAGAUUGGGAGCUCGAUACAGAUUGGGAGCUCCCACCGGUUGAAGCAGUACCGGUCGACCGCAACUUGGCGGCGGUAGUGUUGGAGAGCCCGUAAACCCGAUUUUUAUCGGGUCCACCUGACGAUCCAGCCUCCAUCCACAAAUCCGGAUCGAAUUCCGGAUGGUUCGAAGGAUCGUCCCCGUAUCUCUCCCUCAACCGAUUAUUAUAGGUCUCCUGAAAAAAAACAAAACAAAUAAUCAUAUUCAAUUCAAUAAACAUGAUAAUAACUUAUAAAAUAAAAUGGUUGAACAAACACACCACAAACUGUUGAGCACGGUUGUCAACGAACUGUUGCGUCCCCUUUUGGCGGUCAUGACUCCGCACGUACGUCUCCACAAACAGCUCCAUAGGGCUCGGCUCACGUCCAAGAGACGUAGCCUAUAUAUAAUGAAAAAAAUGUAUUAACAACAAAUUAAUUGAACGAUAUAUUUCAUUUAAAUUAAUCUUACCAUCCAUUUCGCAUGUGCAGCAAACGGAGCCGUCGGUGUGCGUUGUAACCGAGCCAUGAAUUUGCCGAUUCCGGUUGUCGGCACCGGACUGUGAGCGUCGAGUGAACCGCUCAGACGUCACGUGCUGAAGAUAGUGCGGCCAUAUAUCUUCCGGGAUGUAUAUUGGUUUGAAAUCCCUCCAAACCGCAACAUCGUUCCAACCUUGUAACCCCUUAUCCCUCGCUGUUUUUUUUGCUUUUUUCUGGGCGUCAUACCAAAAAUCACGCAACCUAAUUCACGCACGAAAAAAUUACAUUUCGAAACAUAAAUAAUUAUGUAAAAAAAAGUCGUAUUGUUUUCGAUGUUACCUAAUUGCCGCGUGAUUUUCCCACACCCUCCUCACAACAGUGUCAUGUUCAUCAUCCCAGCAGAAUCGAUGUUGUAUAUAAAAAAAUAAUUUUUUAAAAUGUUAAUAAUUUAUUUACAAUUAUAACUUGAAUUUAUUAGAAAUAAGCUGAAAAUUAUAUAUUAACACGAACCUCAAAUCUACGAAACCAUGUAUUGAUUUGAGGCAUCCAUUCAGGAUGUCUGGAUAUAUGACUCCAUUGAAACAAUGGAAUCUCCAUCGACGCUUUAAACGCCGAUGAUAUUAAUCGGGCGACCUCAAUGUUUGUGAACCUGAAAAGAAAUGAAAUUAAUUUGUGAUUACUUCAUAAAUUAUGUUUUAAAUUUGUUUUUUUUUAUAUAAAAAAAACUAAAACCUUAACAAACUUACAUUGAAAGAUCGUCCUUCCACUGUGCCUCGAACUGGUGGGUAAAUUGAUUCCGCUUCGAAGGCAUGCCGCGUCUGCGAUGUGAAACAUCGCUGGAAGAGGCAGCAUCGGUUGACGGCCCAGGUGGUGUAGGUGCCUCUUCUUGAGAGGCACCUAAGGAAACAUCAUCAUCGCUGCUAGACGAACUUGAUUCGACUGGACGACCAGCUCUGGUUUUCAUUUUGCGCAUCUAAACAAUUUUAUAUUAAUAAUUGUAUAAUAAAAUUCAAAAGUUAAAAAAAAAUCGGCAGCACCUCCCCUAUACUGGAUACUACCCAAAUCCACAAACCUGCAAAUAUUAACAAUAGCCACAACCAAUCGAACCAAUCUAUAUGACAAAAAAUAUAUUCAAUAAUUAUAUUCAAAACAAUAAAAAAUAUGACAAAAAAUAAAUUCAAUAAAUUCAACAAAUUAUAAUUCAACAAAUUAAUCAUUUUAAUUCAACAUUAACAAUUAUAAUUCAACAAAUUAAUCAAUAAUUAUAUUCAAAACAAUAAAAAAUAUGACAAAAAAUAAAUUCAAUAAAUUCAACAAAUUAUAAUUCAACAAAUUAAUCAUUACAAUUCAACAUUAACAAUUAUAAUUCAACAAAUUAAUCAUUAUAAUUAUGACAACAAAACAAUAAAAAAUAUUCAAAAAAAAAAACCUACAUCAAUAAAAGGAACGAAAUAAACAUACCUUAAUAAUGUGACAAAUUCAAUCACCGAUGGAAUUAAUAUCCGUCGGUAAAAGGUAAAAAUUCCGUCGGUAACAGGUCAAAAAUCCGUCGGUAUUUUUUGAAUUUCGCCCCGAAUUUUUAAAAGCCCUCCAUAUUUUUCACAGUCCGUCGGUGAUUCCGUCGGUAAUCUGACAAGUUCAGAGGCGCAUUAAUUCACACACUUUGGAAAUCGCGCGGUCCGUCGGUAUUUCUGUCGGUAAUAUGUGUGACCGACAAAUUACCGACGGACCUAUUCUGUCGGUGAACCCGUCGGUGAUUGUGGCAUUUUGUUCUAAAUAUUUUCGAGCUUACUGUGAGAUGCCGACGGAAUGGUUGUCCGUCGGUAAUGUCGUCGGUGAGUGUGGCAUUUUAUUGUAAAUAUUUUAGAACUCUCUGUGAGAUACCGACGGAUGGUUGUCCGUCGGUAUUGACGUCGGUGAUUGUGGCAUUUUGUUGUAAAUAUUUUUGAACUCUCUGUGAUAUACCGACGGAUGGUUGUCCGUCGGUAUGGACGUCGGUGAUUGUGGCAUUUUGCAGGAAAGGUUGUCUUUGUAUUGCAUGUUUACCUUCCUGCAAUAACUUAACUGAUAAACUGUCUAUCACAUAAAACAAUAACCACAUUGCUUAAACAAUAAAUAUUUUGUUUUACAAAAUACAUCAUCAAUAAUCUAAAUUACAUGAGACAAAUGUUUUUACAUAGGGCUUCAUUUUCAUAAUUAGUCGGAAUUUUCUUCUUCUUCCUCGUCAAUUGAAUUGUCAUCAUCUUCAUCGCAAUCUUCAAUAUGGAUAUCAUCUUCUUCAUCGACAUUUGCUUGUUCGCUAGAGCUGAGAACAACAUUCAACUCCUCUCCGUCAAUAUCAACAAGACUAUCAUCGAGAACUCGAAAAUUUGAAUUUUCUUCCAAUUCAAUCGAAGGAGCAACUCGAUAUGGUUCAACCAACUCACGAACUUGAAAGACUUCAUCUCGCACACUUGUGUCUUCGUUCUCAUCCUGAACAACCUCGACACGACCCCGUGGUUUCGUUUUUAAAACGGACAACCAAUCAACUCUUGAACGAUCCUUUCUAAAUGAAGGGGUGUAUGUGUAAUAAAUUUGUUGACAUUGCUUUGCGAAAACAAAGACAUCAUUUAUGUUGCGGAGUCUAGCUUUUGAGUUGAUUUCGACCAGACCAUGGUGCAGAUCAACUUUGAUUCCUCAGUUCGUCGUGUCAUACCAAUAGCAUUUGAAUAAAAACACUUUAUUCUGCUCGCUAUGAUAUUGCAGUUCGACGACCUCUUCUAAUCUACCAUAGUAGUCAACUUCUAACUGGCUACUUGUGGAUCCCUUAACACAAACACCGCAGUUGUAUGUCUUUCUUCCUUGCCCGUAUUCUUCAGUAUGGAAAACAUAUCCAUUGACAAAAUACCCGUUGUAGCACUUAACUUUUCUUUCAGGGCCGAGGCUUAGUGAAGACAAUGACUUGGGCGCACUCCUUCCCAUUUGAUAAACCUUGUAAAUAUAUGUAAUUAAAUGUACAUCAAUACACGGUAAAUGAACGAGAAUCUCGUAAUGACAUGCAUACGUUAGAAUGAGUUUGUGAUAGUGCUUACAUGUGUUCUGAACCAUGUGGCAAAUUGUUCAUCUUGUAAUUGAAAGAUCUGGGAUUCGGUCAGCUGCGAGUUAUUGGAGAGCAAAUAUUGUCGAUGUUGCCUGCAAGUGAUAAUGAGUGUAUGAUAUUACAAUAUAUAAUUAACAGUAUAUUACUGACAAAGUUUAAUUAGUAUUACACAUAUAUAGACUUACUGAAUAAAUGGUCUCAGCUCAUCACAGUUAAAUAGAACAUAGUUGUGUGCUUGUUUGAAUUCUAUUUCCGACAAAUAUCUUCCUCUUACGGCAUUUUUAGGUGUGGGUCGUCCAGUAUUGGAGAAUAUUGACAAGUUCCCACUGGAAGGCACUUCACCGCCAUCGUCAUGCCGUGGAACGCGAUUGAUUCUUGUUCUCAGAUGAGGUUCGAAAUAGUACGAGAUAAAUGUUGAUAUCUCUUCAACAAUAUAGGCCUCAGAUAUCGAAGCCUCAACAUGCGCCUUGUUCUUAACCUUUUUUUUUAGAUUAAACAAGUACCUGCAUUGAAGUACAAUUCAAGUAUUUUCAAAUAAGAAAAACAUAGAAAAUACUUUAAGAUAUGAAUUCCAUUGCAACUGUAAUAUCUCACCGUUCGAAUGGGUACAUCCAUCUAUACUGGACCGGUCCUCCAGCUUUUGCCUCGAACGGUAGAUGUAUAGGGAGAUGCUCCAUUGAGUCAAAAAAUGAAGGAGGGAAUAUCAUCUCAAGUUUGCAUAGUGUCUCGAUGAUAUUCGUUUGAAGCAUCUCAAUGUGCUCAACAUUCAUCUUGCUGGAGCAUAUAUCUCUGAAGAAAUGACUGAUCUCCGUUAGUGCAUCCCAUAUUCCCUUUGGCAACAAAUCACGAAAAGCUAAUGGGAUGAGUGUUUGCAUAAACACGUGGCAGUCAUGGCUCUUCAUUCCAUACAAUCUGCAGUCCUCUAUGUUAACAAGCCUUGAUAUGUUCGAUGCAUGUCCAUCCGGGAAACGCAGACUCUUAAGCCAUUUGUAGACUAGCAGUUGUGCGUUUUUCUCUAACACGAAGCUUGCCCUUGGUUUUGCAACCCGUGACUCGUCAUAAACCAACUCCAUAUUUUUACGGUUACAGUAUAAAGCUAUAUCCAAUCUAGCCUUCAUGUUGUCCUUUGUCUUCCCCUUCACAUCCAUGACGGUGUUGAAAAUAUUCUCAAACACGUUCUUUUCGAUGUGCAUGACGUCAAGGUUAUGGCGGAGAAGAUUAGUCUUCCAAUACGGAAGCUCCCAAAAGAUACUUCGCUUUACCCAAUUAUGGGUCAAACCAAAACCAGGAAACUUUUGCUUACCUGAUUGAAGGCCAAACACAAUGUCACCGUACUCUGAUACAACAUGAUGCAAUUCUUCACCAGAAAGACGCGGGGAUGCAACAUCUUUUUCAACUCUACCAACAAAGAAAUCUUUUCUGUUCUUUCUGAACCUGUGAUUAAGUGGCAAGAAGCGACGGUGACAGUCAAAAAAAGAAGCUUUACCUCCGUUUGCUAGCGUGAAUGCCUUGUUGUUUUCCAUGCAGUAUGGACAUGCGAGUUUCCCAUGCGUGCUCCAACCAGAAAGCAUUCCAUAAGCUGGAAAAUCACUGAUAGUCCACAUCAAAGCCGCCCUCAUAAGGAAAUUUUGUUUCCUCGAUAUAUCAUAAGUCAGAGAUCCGGAGGACCACAACUGCGCCAGCUCAUCUAUCAACGGUCGAAGACAAACAUCUAUAUUCCGCCCCGGGCUGCUUGGACCGGGUAUGACAGUAGAUAGAAACAUGAACUCCGGCCUCAUACACAUUCCCGGUGGCAAGUUAUAAACUGUGAGAAUGACCGGCCAACAAGAAUAGGGAGCAGCAAAUGACCCAAAUGGGUUGAACCCGUCUGUACACAACCCAAGUCGAACAUUCCUUGAUUCAGCAGAAAAGUCAGGAUGAACACUGUUAAAGCGUUUCCACGCUUCGCCGUCAGAAGGAUGCACCAUCACACCAUCAACGACAUCGUGUGUUUGGUGCCAUGUCAUGUGCUCAGCAGUCCUUGGUGACAUAAAUAACCUCUGCAGUCUAGGUGUGAUCGGAAAUAUCUAAGUUUUUUAUGCCACUAGAGUCUUCCCCCUGCCAGUUCUGGGUUUGUAACGGGAAUGCCCGCAUGUCAUGCACUCGGUCAUCUCAGCAUUUUCAAGGUAGUAUAACAUGCAGAAGUUAGGGCACAUGUCAAUUUUCUGGUAUCCUAAACCGAGGGGUUUCAUCAUGGACUUCGCAGCAUAGAAGUUCUCUUUGAGCCUGUUCCCUUCUGGUAAAAUGCUUCUUGCCCAAUCAAUAAUUUUGUCAUACCCGGCCUCACUCAACCCGUGAUCUGACUUGAUGGUGAACACCUGUGCCACGCCGAUAAUUUACUGUGGUUUGUGCAGCCAUCCCAUAAUGGUUCGUCAGAAUCUUUCAACAAAUCAAAAAACCUAGCUGCCUCUGCAUUAGGUUCUUCUUCUACGAUUGGACAUUGAUUGACAUUAUCUUGAUUCAUUCUCAUUGCAUCCAUAACCAUGUUUCUGUAAGGAUUAGUGUUGUCAUUUGCCGCUUCAUGCACGUUGCUAGCACUAGAAGUUGACCCAACCACCGUUUCUCCCAUUCUCCUAUUACUAACAAAUACCUCUCCAUGUGCAUACCAACACUCGUAAUCCUCCACAAACUCUUUAUGUAGAAGAUGCAUCAUUACAACAUCUAGAUGCAGAUACUUUUUAUUUUGACACUUCCUGCAUGGACACCUAAUACCGCCUCCAGUAAAAUUUCUGGGAAUAGAUGUUGCGAAAUUAAUAAAACCCUGAACCCCGUUACAAUAAUCCAUCAUCUGCAAUCCUUGGGGUGAAUCUAGAUACAUCCAUGAACGAUCAUCCAUGACUUCUAUCGAACCUCUAUAAAAAGGACCCAUUAAUUAAGCAAGCUCUUAAUUAUUUCAAAACAUAACAUGUAAUUCGGUAAUUCUACAAAUUAAGUUUUAACAAUUUUCAAACAAAUACAAUCUUACAAAAUCUAAAACAAACCAUAACAAGUAUAAAAUUAUACAUUCAUAUACUACAAGUUUGUUUGAGAAAUAACAAUAAAACAUGUACAUCUACUAAAAAAUAAUAAUACAUAUACUAAAAAAAAAAUUUGACAUUUAAAUGUUAAAAUUUUAAAAGAUAGAAUUACUUACAAAAAAUGAUAAAAUCCGUCGGUAAAUCAGAACACGGAUGCUGUGACCACAAAACAAAUACAACUUGUUGUGCUGAGAUGAGGAAGAUUUUUGUUUUGGGGCGAGGGGGGUGGUUAUUUUGCAGAUGGGGAGGGUUAGGAUUAGGAAGAAGAAGGAGAAAUGGGGGAGGAGAGUGUCGGCAGAGUGGCCAUAUAUUCACUUUUGCUGACGGACUUACCGACGGUUUGGAUUCCGUCGGUGAAUCCGUCGGCAAAACCGUCGGUAAUUCUGACGGGCAAUCGACACGUCACCGCACGGACCUGCUAUUCAAAUCCCUCGGUGAUUCCGUCGGUAUUUUUAACGGUGCACCGGUCACGUCACCGGUACGGAUCUGGCAUUUCAAAUCCGUCGGUGAUUCCGUCGGUAUUUUUUGACGGUGAACAGGUCCCAUCACGCGUACGGGCCCCAGUUUUAAUUCCGUCGGUGAUUCCGAAAAUCACCCGCCAAAACCUCGCGCCACUGCCCGCCCUUUUUUCAUUAAUUCUGAAUUUUCGGUCGGUAAUUACCGACGGAUAGUCCGUCGUAAUUACCGACCGAAUUACCGACGAAAUAUUCCGUCGGUGAGUUCGACCGAAAAAUACCGACAGAAAAAAUUCUGUCGGUGAGUCCGUUGGUAUUUAGCGAAUUUCUGGUAGUGUAUGUAAAUCAAGAUAAAUCAUCUUGCAAAUAAUAUUAUUAAUAUCUGAAAUGUAUAUUAAAUGUUAUUCCCUCACUGAGUUGGUUGAACUCACCUCUCAUUUUUAAUAUUAUUUCAGGUUCUUAGUUUCUGGGACUUUGUUGAGUGUUUCCGCUUCUUCAGUUCUGGUCGGUAUGCCUUGCUUGUUCGCGAGGCUUUCCUUUUAGUUUUGAUUUGAUAUCUUAGACGCUCCACUGUUACCUUGGUUUAAUUAAAUUUGGAUUUUGACAAUGUAAUGAGUAUUAUGAAUUAUUAUUUUUGUUUUAAUAACUAUCUUUCGGUUUCAUCAGUAUUUGAAUAAUAUAAUAUUUCUGAAUAUUAUGAGCCGCUGCGUAUUUUUGAACAAAUUAUUCUUUUGAUAUGUCCGUUCUGAGGCUUAGCCUAGGUGAGGUGUCCUUUCGACACCACUCCUACGUUGCCGGUCACGAAUCCGGGAUUCGGGUCGUGACAAAUCACCUUAUGGAUACCCAGAUUUCCAGUGCCUGGAAAUGGUUUAAAAAGAUUUUGUUUUGAGGUAAUGCAAAUCACAUCUCUAGUUGUUACUGGAUUUAAUAAAGUUACUUUAUACAGUUGAAAUUACUCGCUGCUUUCCUCUUGAAUCAUUAAUCCUAAAUGAUUAAUCAUGGAUAGUUUAAUAUAUCAGUGAAACUAGAUCAUUGACCGAGCUCGUACAGGCUAUACUAAAAAUUUUAUAAACAAAAAAAUAUGUAAGGAUUGAUAAUGUAUUUUUUUGUCAAACCGAAAUGUAAAACCAAAGGGGAAAAAAAUAAAAAAAAUUUAUUCAUUUUUCUUCCUAUUACGUUGAGCACCCUUAAAGUAAUCUGCAAUUGUCAAAGAACCUGAAUACAUAAUAUGAUUUCAGAACUCGUAUCUGUGUCCCAUGAACCCAUGGUUAUAAAUUUCAACGUUAGCAAAAAUUAUAUUCAAUUAUUAUUUUUUAAAUAUAUAAGUUUGAUAGUGAUUUUAUAUUUUAUUCUACACUAGCACGCGGGUUUGGCAAGCGCCGGAAAAAUCAAGGUGGAAUGUUAAGCGUGCUCCUGUAAUUCGGUAAUAAUUUUAGUUAAGCUCUCUAAUUAUUUACUUGUAAUUACAGUAAUUUUGUUUUCCUAAUUACCUGCUCUCUUCUAGUGCUUCUGAUUGAAAUUGAGUUAGGAGUUGAAGACCCUUAAGUGCAUUGGAUUGCCCAUCUAGAAGUUGUUUCUGUUUAUCCAAAGACUUCCCAGCCAUGUUCUCAAUGUCAUCAGCUGUGUUUUGUAAAGUUUCCAUCUUUGAAGACAUUGUGUCUCCAACUCUGCCAAUCUGCUUCUCUAUUUCCACAGCUUCGUUUCUCACAUUGUCUACUUCUUGGCCCAGAUUGGUGUAAGCAUCAUGAAGCAUCGACAUCCCUUCCUUCAAAUUGUCAUUCAUUUUUGCUUGUCCCUCUUGCAGCUCUGAUUGAGAAUGUGCAAUUUCCUUGGAAUGCUUAUAAACAGCUUCAGAGUGCUUAGAUAAAACAUCCAUGUGAUCCUUUGCAUCUUUCGUUGUUUGAGCUACAUUUUCAACCUGAAUAUCAAUAGAACUCAAUGAAUCCUGAAUUUGAUUCGAUCUCUGCAACAGGACAUGUGUUUUUCCUCCAAUAAUUUCUAACUGUUCUUCCGUGUAUUCUGCUGAAUUUUUAAGAUCAUUCACCAGUCUCUCCAUUUUAUGGUUGAAGGCAUGGGCCCUGUAGGCAAUAGCACAUAAAAAAAUCCUUGUUAGUUUCUGUCACAUCGUAUAAAACAAGAGAAGAACGGUCAGAACAGUGAAAGAAACUAUACUUAACUGUCACUGAUAGCAGAUAGAAUUGGUUUCCAGUGAGAAUUCAAGAUAAACCUUGUGCUCAUUGUCAUUCAACCUUUUGAGACAAUUAACCAUGGCAGAUUUUGUGUCACAAUAAGGGAAAGCUGGCCGUCCAGAGUCCUUUUGAAAGCAAUCACUAAGGUGCCAAGCAAAUCUCCACCGCUUCUCCUCGACGGCGAGAAUCUGCGAGCAGCCGGCAAAGAGAUUCUGGUAAGCAUUCUGCCAACAAGAAUUCGUGCCAACCAUUUUACUUUCGGCUUUUUCGACCAGUUUCAUCCCCUUCCCAUCACUAAGACCAUUCAUAGAAAAUUCCACCACAGAACCACGGGGCAAACCGUUUGUCUGUGAAUUAUCAUGGAGAGAGUCUCUGUUGAAGAAGAGAACCAACCCCAUGAUUGACAUCUUAAUGUAAGUGAGAUUAAAAUUACGAGAAACAAAAUCUGACUAUAAGAACCCAUUAAUUAUAUCUUUUCUUCCUGAUUUUGUUACUCUACUUUCUGUAUCUUCCACCAGAAGACUGAAACCUGCAGUACACAGUAUAACAAAUUAGCAGAUGCUUCCAAUGCUAAAGGCAUAUACACAAGUCUUGUAUUUAUGUAUAAACAAAGAGGUGGAGAAACUUGGAGUGCAAGAAAAGGAAAAGGCACGAUUUUAGCAUGAAAAGGACUGUUUGAAAGUGAAAUUAAAAGUGUAGAAAAUAGAAAAGAGACAGAGACUUCCAAAGAUUAAAAAGAAAAGAAAAGAAAAGUAGAAAUGGUCAAAUAGUCUCUUAAAACAUUCUACGAUAUUCCAAUAAUCAAAGAUGAGAUAACUUCAAGAAUUCUAAGGAAAUCAAAACAGGACAUAGUGUCAUAUCUUCCCAUUAAAUUAGCAGCAUAUCAACUAUUUUAAGAAAAUUAAGUCAAAAUUAAGAAAAUUCUUUAAAAUCAUAACCGUUUCAAUUAACCGUUUCUUUGUUUUCUCUCUUUUUUCUAAUUUCCUUUUACAAUUAAUUACUUAUAUGAUGGAUUAACAAAUGGAAAGAAAGAAACCAUAAGUAGCAAAAAGGGAUCCCCUCUUUAUCUUCUAUCACUUGAUUUCUUUUCUUAACUUCUUCUCCAGCUACCCCUCCCUCCUUUUCUCAUAUACAAAGCUUCUGCUACCUUUUUUAUCCUUUAAAAAACCAAAAAGCGGGCCAUGUUCAUGUUUAAAGUUUUGAUACGAUUAUCCUUGGAGCCUUAACCUGAAUUAUACGUAAAAAACGAAGAAAUUAAAGAAAGUCCUUGAAUGAGAGAGAGAGAGAGAGAGAUGGUGAGAGCAUACAUACUUGUUUGUGAAUGCUCACCGGGUGGGGGUGGGGGUGGGGGUGGUAUUAAGAGGAUAUAUAUAUAUAUAUAAAGUGAAGUGAAGAGACAUGAUGCUUUGAUUAAUUUGGAAAAUUAAUGAUGUUUCGAAAAGUCACUUUCCAUGACCGACAUUAAUCUUUCCUUUCCAUGUUACACCAGGUUUUAUAUUUUUUCCUUUUACGUUUAAUUCGUUUUCAAAAUUAACCCAAGAUUUCAGAACGUUGCAAUAUUAAACCUCAACGUCACAAAUGAUCUACUGUAAUUUAAUUUUAAGGCCUGAUUAAAUACCCAAGUUAUUAAAACACACUUGUUCCCAGCAGAACACAAUGUUUAAGGGGGAGAGAGAUCAUCUUGCAUGCAUAAAAUCGAAGACGUGUACUGUAACAGAUAUAUUGUUGUGUUGCAAACAGAUUUCAAGGUUCUAUAUAAAUCCAAGAACUUUUUAUGCACCAACUGAUGAUAUAAUUAUAAGUUAGAGUAAUUAUUGAAACCCUCCCAUAAUUAUUGGAUUUUGUUCCUUAACUUCCACCUAACGGAUUCAUCAUUCUGCUACUUCCAAAUCCAUUCAAGAAAUCUCAAAAGUCCAUUUGAAAUGAACAAAGGAUGCAUUAACCGGUUGAGAUGAAAAUCUCUCAACUAGAAUGAAAAGAUCCUUAUACCUCCAAGGUCUGAUAUGCGGUUUAUUCCUACCACCUGUAUUACCAGAAUGGAAUGCGCUAGUUCUAAGAUGCAGAGUCUGUGUUCGAACAAUGAUUUAUGGAAGCACAGGUACGUGGAGGAGCUUGGAAAUGCGUCCGAAACACAAAGUUUUGGCAACUGGAAAACUAGAUCAAUUCUCUAGAUAUCGAUGUUUUCUGCUAGAUCUUAUGGCAGCAUGAAGUCCACUAAUUUUGUCUGUGAUUGUAACUAUUUGGAUUGUUAAUUUUUUUAAAAAAAGUUUAUGUUCAUAAAUCGCCGGUCUUGCAAAUUGAUAAACCUUUGUUCGAAUGAUAUCGUAGAUUAAAAGGCUUAAAGGAAAUCUUUGUUUGUGUUGCAUAUAUUAAGAGAGUUCUUGAUGCCGGACAAAGAGAGAUUUGAAGAGAAGGGGAGAAGGGAGAGAAAGAACGAAGAGGAGAAGAAGCUGGGAAGAAGAGGAGGAGAGGAGAGAAGGGAAGGGAAGAGGAGAAUUGAACACUACAUUUUUUCUUUAAUUCAUCUAUAAACUGAUAAAUCAAAUAAAGCCCAAUCAAAUAGGUUUAAAGCCGAAACAGAGGGGUGGAACGGGAGUGUCUAAUGAAAGAAAACUCUAUAAGGUCGCGUGGAAUACUCUUUCAAAUCCAAAACAGAUGGAUGGAACUGGUUUGGGUUCUCGCAGAAGGUUUCGGUCUUGGGGUGAUUGCUUUUCCAAAUUUGCACCAAUCAGUUCUGCAUCAGCUAGCAAUGAUUUCGAAAAUGGGAGCUUGACAAGCUUCAGAGUGGACCAGGGCUUUAUCCAUGAGAGAAAGAGGAUGAAACUCGUCCUCAAUCAAUGCUUUCAGCACCAUAUUUACACCAAGAUAGGGUGGUUAUACUGUGAAAUCUUGUAGCGCAGUUGUGGCUGGGUUUUUGCUUCCAUGUCAGACCAUGAACAUCCCCAAUGUAUGGAAACCUACCGCUCUCCCAAAGGUAGAAUUCUUCACUUGGCUGGCUGUUCUUGAUAGACUGAACACAAAGGUAGAAAAUGUAUGUUGCUGCUGUCAAACUGAGGAAGAAUCACUCCACCAUCUACUACAACACUGCCAGCAAGUUUGGAGGAUUUGGAAUCAUGCAUGUGUUCAGUUGGCGAGGAUCAACUUAUACCCUUCCUAAAUCAGCAAGUGGUUUGUUUCAGCAAUGAAGGUUCUUUGCAAGAGGUGGAAAACAAGGUAUUUCCCACAUGAUUUUCUCUCUUUCUUCAUUUUGAUAUUUCAAUUAUUAAAAUAAAGUAAUAAUAUUACUCACACAAUACCAUAAAAUUCAUCGGAAUUUAAAAUUUUUAAUUUAGAAAUUUUGGCCAUGCAUGGUCUACAACCGUGAAAGAGGUCCCAGAAAAACACGAGUCCAAAGCUACUUGGACUUCUCCAUAAAUCAAGUGGAAAAUUGAUAGAUCAGCAGGAAAACUAACGUAGCAUUUCGUUAAAAAUAAACUCUAUUUUCGGCUAUUCCUCAAACAGUGUUUUAAGAUUGUAAGGCUUCACGAUGUCAAGACUUCCACUCCACAUUAGCUUCGCAAAUUGAUUGUUGGCACUCUCAGUUGGAUGAGCCGGAUCAAAGAAGAAAUAUUCACUUGCAUUGUCGCAUAAUUGAUAUCCUUUCUGACCACAAGUAGGGAAGCUUCUGUAAGGACCACUGCCACAACAUGCCUCUUGAACCUCCUUGAAACCUUCAUAUAUAGAGAAAUCACAUUUAAAUUCAUAACAAGGACAGGAAAUCUAUAUAGGGACCUUGAUUUUAAUUAUUUAAUACUUAUAGACAGGCAUUACCAUAUUUUUAUUAAUUCUCUCCCUUCCUGCAACAUAGGCAUCAAAAAUUGAGUAUCUAAAUCCUUCUAGUUGUCCCUCAAGCUCUUUGAGUGCUUUAGGGAGUGCUCUGUUGUGUAGUUUUGCAAACAUUGUAGCUUCAUCCAAGCAACCUGACACCCCUGUUCUUUCCUGUUUAGCUGCUCUCAAGGAUGGUAGACAACCCAAAGCAAUCAACGUUGACAAUCCAAAUUUCCUUCCUCCUAUCUUGUAUAUUUCCUGGAACAGUACAAUUACGCAAUCAUAAUCCAAGAUCAACUUGGAAAGAAGAGAAAGAAUGGUUCUUUAGCAUGCUAAAUUACUUGGAUCACUGUUGUUAUAUUGCCAAUAACCAUCCCAACAUACUCUUCUCUUGAAUAUAAUUGAAGCAAACUGUGCGUUGGUGUUAGAGCUGCAAAGUAGUCAUUGCCUCCAAUGCUGAACAUGUAAACUGCUGUGGACAGCAAGUUUUUAGCUUCUGCUUCACCUAGUUGAAGCCUUAACUGCCUUUUCAUAUGCUUGAAAUAGCUUAGUUGAGUGCUAAGGUUUAUCACCUUCAAAGAAAAGGGGAAAAAAUGAAAAACCGAAAAAAAAAAAAAACAGUUAUGGAACAUAUCUAAGACAGUAAACUUUGUGUUCUUGACAUACCCAUCCAUGAUGAGUUUCAACAAGAGCACCAGCUCCAGAUGAUGCAAAGUUCACUCCAUUUAUAAAUCGAUGAUUACUGGAUUGUAGAUGUUGUUGUAUUUCAGAGCUUAUCACCUUGAAAACAAUCAUUGAAUCUCAUUAUUCCUUUAGAAGAUUUAAGAGAGAUCUCGAGUUUAAUUAAUUUAUAAAAAGACGAAAAGUGGUGGGGAUCAAUAACAUUGAAGACCCCACCAAGAAAAAACAACAUCAUGAUGACAGACAUACCAUUCCUUGGAGAUUUUCAGCGAGAACAAGAUCCCCUUUUGACUCAAAGUUUUCUCCAUCCAUAAAUUGAUGGUUACCAGGUUGUAGAUAUGGCGGAAUUAAAGGUAAAUUUGCAUAUUGAGCUGUCACAAAACAUUUCAUAAAAAUAAGAAAAGAAAGAACAAAAAAGAAUGAAUUAAAGUGCUCUUAACUGUAAUGAUCUUACCAAUAAAAUCUGGAAUUAAUCGACCAUCACAAGGCCUUCCUGUGGGAUGCUUGAAGAAGGUUCCAUACCAUACAGAAAUCUGAAAAGAUAGGAGCAUCUUCGAUGUACUUGUUGUUUCCAGCAUCAUAUAAUGAAUCUCCAAAGAUAAAUAAGGCAACAUGCUUAGAACCAUGGCAGCUUCUUGCAACCAGAAGGCUUGCACAAAACACCAAGAAACAAUUCUUAAUAUUGGACCUUGAAAUACUGUUAUAUAAUUGUAUAAGGAUUGAUAAUAUAUUUUUUAGUUAGAAAGAAAAAUUUAUUUGUAAAUUUAAAAUUUGAAGUAUAUAUUUAAUAAAAUAAAUUAAAAAUUAUAAGUGCUAAUAAAUAUAUAAAAAAUAAGUUGUCAAGGUGAAAACAAAUACAAAUUAAAAUAUUCGAUUUUACAUUAUAAAGAACCCUUCAAUUAUUUAUAUUUAAUUAUAUAACAGUAUUUUAAUUAUAAAAAUAAUAAUUUAAAUUUUGUUUAAACAAAAUAAUUUUCUAUUAUAUUUCCUUCUUUUAUUAAUACUUUUAAUUUCAGUAAAAAAAAUUAACUUUUUGUUGCUUGUCUUUCAUUUAAUAAAAAUUAAAAGAAAUUAGAAUACAUAUCCAUAGGAUUUUGGAUGAUUUAAAAUAAAAAAAAAAUAUCUCUCUAAUUAGAAUCUGUUUGCCUAGCUGACACGCUCAUUUAAAAAAAAAAAUCUUUAUCAGAAUAUUUAAUUUUUAGAUAUUAUUUUAUCAUUAUCUUAAAACAAGUUUGAAUGAUUAUAAAACACAUUUUGAUAACCUAGAAAAUAAUAAUUUAAUAAACAUCCUUAAAACUUAAAAAAAUAAUAAUUUAUUAGCCCAAAAAAACCUAAAACAAUUGUCCAAAAUAAAAAAAGUAAAAAUCAUGAAAAAAAGUUUUCUUUAUCUUUUGAGUAGUUUUUAAUAUCUUGAGCUCUACCUCACUUGUCUCUGAUGAUUGAUUAUUAUAAAAAAUUUCUAUAGCUCCCAAUUUCCAAGAUUAUAGUAUGAGGCGACAAGGCAAGUGGCUGUGUUUUUUCAAAAAUACAAUCAAAGGCAGUAAGACACGAUUAUGCUGAAAAAAUUCUUAUGGUAAGCUUUGGUUGGUUUAGAAAAAUAUGCUUGAUUCAUCACGUUUCUCCACCAAUAAAAGUGUUGGCAUGAAAACAAGUAGAAUUAAUGAGAUUGUGUAUAGAAAAAUAUAUAAAAUAUUUGCACAAUAAAAAAAAGAAUAGAAGAAAAAAUAUAUAAAAUAUACAUAAAAAUAAAAAAUAUAUCUAAAAAGAACCUAAGUAUUUUUUUGGCUGGGCUCGAAAUCAUACCCAACUGUCUAGAUCCGAUAGUUUUUAUUUUAGCUGAUAUGAUCAUUAUGAUUGUAAGAAAUUGUUCAAUAAGAGUUAUUAUCUUAUAUAAGAUUUAAAAAUUCAAAAUCUUUAUUUUAUAACUUCUAAGUUUUGAGUACAUUAUUAUUAUUAUUAUUAUUAAUAUAUGAAAUGAAUGACUAUUAAAGUUAUUAAUUAGAUGUUAGACUGGUGGCGGAAAUCGUAAUGGCGGCUAAUAUUUCAAGUCGGCUUGAAUAUUACUGCUCGACGGCUUAGCUAGGUAGAUAGCUCAAGCUCAACUCAAGCGGGUGAAAUAUGAUUGUUACAGAUUGUAACAGCUAAAUCCAGCUAGAGAGGAGUAGGAAUCCAGGAAAAAAACAAUCAACGGCUAGGAUUGGGUUGGGUAUUUGAGAAUGGGUCCGCUUCCUGUCCAGGAGAGAGGGGGGAAGAAGACUUGGUUGGUUUUCUUUCUCUCUCCACAAGGCAAGGAAAAAAAUGAAAUCAAGGUUGUCAAUUCUAUUUUGAUAUGUAUUUUAUUUAUUUAAUUGAAAUGAAAUAUUUUAGUUUUGAAGUAUUUUAAUAUAUUAUUUUGGAGUUGUACUGUUUAUAUAUAUAAUUCAAAUUAAUUAAUUAUAACAUAAUUCAAAUUUAAGAUAAAUUAAUUAUAAAUUAUGCAAUACAAACACAAUGCCAAACAAAUAUAAUUUCAAAAUUUAAAAUAUUUUUAAAUAGUCAAGAUUAAAUAAAUCUUUAACUUAAAGUAAUUCAACUUAAACAAAAUAUCAAAAUAUUAUGAAAGUAAAAUGUUUUAAUAAAAAUAUUUUAAAUAUAAAAUUAGGUUAAUGUUAUCAAGUGGUUAAUGGAAUCUAAAGCUUCCCUUGUUUUGCUCAAAUUCCUACAAAGUAUAAAUAUGAAAAAAAAAAUAACAUGAAUAUAAACCAUAUAUAUUAGUGAUAAAUCUAAUUUUAAAAAAUUAAUAUUAUUGUUAAUGAAAAUAGUAAUAAUAAUUUUCAAUAUUAUUAUUAAUAUCAUUGCUAUUGAAAAUAGUAAUGAAAAAGAGCUUUUUUAUAAUCAGGUGGUUUAAUUAAUGAAAUUAAGUAAGGUUCAAUUUGAUUCAAUGACUUUUUAAGAGUGGAACGAAACAUGUGGAAUGAAACUGGAACGUUUCGGGCGAAAUUUAGCUGAAAAAUCCAGAAUGGACCGAGAUUUAAAAUUAGAUGAAAUUUGUUCCGUUUUUUGAAUUAAUAUGGAAUGUUUCGGCCAUUCUGGACGAAACGGAACGGAAUUGACAACCUUUAAUGAAAUAAAAUGAUGGUGGUUUUCUGGGACCCGUGUAUCCCCUGAAAUUGAAAGACCAUACGACCACGUGUUGCCGGUAAGGUCACUUUCAAUAUUCAUCCCCAUCCUCAUCCUCAUCCCUAUGGUCUAAAUUAUAAAACUAAGUCCUUUUAGUUUUGAGAAAUGAAUUAAUUAGUUAUUUUUUAAAAAAAAUAAAUUAUUUAGUCCUUUUUGUUCAUUUAUGUUUUUUAUUUUUUAAAAAAUAAAAGAAAGGAAAUGAAUAAAUAAAUAUUAUAAAAAAGUAACCUGGUCAAUGAACUAGGUAAUUUAUUUUUUUAAAAAAAGAUUAAUUAAUUUAUCUUUUAAAAAUAGAGAAACUGUUUUUUACGAGAAUUCACAUUUUUUUAUAUCCAAUAUGUAUAUUUAUGCUCUAAAACAGACAUCGGUUAUGAGAAGAUUUGACAAAAAUACCGACAACAUUGACAAAAAAAAAAAAAACACUAAUUGAGAAUAUUUUGAAAUGUUUGGAACCUAAUUGAAAAAAUUCAUAGGUUUUAAAUGUAAUUGAGAAUGGAUAUACAAGUUGGAGAGUAACAUGAGGGUUUCCCUAUAAUAGCAUGUUUUAAAUUAUAUAUACUUAUAAUUUUUAAAUUUUAAUUUCAUCGUUUGAUUUUUGAACAAAUAAAAUAUGUAUAAUUGGACCAGGUCUAAAGAUUAGAUGGGAUCAAACCAAUAAGAAGCCUGAGAAAGUCCACGAAGAAAAACCAGCUAACAUUGCAAUGAGGACUUGUUUCAACAGUUAGAAUGACAAAAAACCCAGCUAACAUCGGCAAAUAUAGGUUCAAAUUACCAGUUUACAUACCUGACGUCCACUGUGCAUAAAAAUAUCUGUAUUUAAAAUGAUUUUUAUAUUUGAUCCUAUUAUUACAUACCUAACGUCCACUGUGCAUCAAAAAAUUACCUGGAACUAUUAAAAGAUGUUUUUAUUUAUAAUUUUUUAAAAUAUAAAAACAUGUUAGAGAAGUUGUGUAUAUACAUAUUAUUGCUGAAAAAAAUAUCUUUAUUUAAAAUGAUUUUUGUAUUUUAUCCUAUUAUUUUGUACCAUUAGAGAAGACAACACAAUAAAACUAUAUAGGUGAUGAGACAAAGGGAUAAAAUGGGGAUCCAAAAACAUUUUAAAUAUUUGUUAGUAAAUUAAAAACACCAGAAGCCAAUAAAUUAUAGUGUUGAUUAUAAAAAUAAAGGUAUUAAGUUAUAAUUUUGUUUAAAAUGCAAGGGAUAAAUUUACACCACAUCCAUUUAAUAAUUAUUAUUAACAUAUAUUGAAAGACCUUGAUAUUUCAUUAUAGCAAUAAACAGUGAAAUGUGAUAGCCUUAGUUUGGUCCUCAAGAUUUACUAAAAGAUCUUAGCAUUUUAUUAUUGCAAUGAACAUUAAAAUGCUUUGACCUUUUACAAUUUGAUCCUCGAGGUUUUUUAUUUUAUUUUUUGCAAUUUCAUCUUCUGACAUUAAAUUUAAUGGACAUUGAACUUUAUAGUUUAUUUUGAUUUAUUUUCUAUGAAGUUAUCUUAGUCUUAUAAUCUAAGUUUUAACAAGUUAAUACGAGUUUACUCGACUAUUUUUUUGUAUUUUUUUUUAAAUUUAACUUCAUCCUUCAGUAUUGAGUUGAUUGAGAAUUUGAUUUGAUUUUUUUUUAUUUGUUUUAUAUAGGGUUAUCAUGGUCUCGUGACCUGGAUCACAAGUUUUGCGAGUUAGCCAAUUUGAUUGGAAUUUUUUUAGGUCCUUUGUUCUUUUUAAUUGAAUUUUUUUUUCAAUUUCAUUAUUCAAAUUGAAAAUUUGAAUUCAGAAUUUUUUUUUAUUUCAAAGUUAUCCCGGUCUCAUGAUUGAGGUUUGAUAGGUUAACCGAGUUUGAAUCAAUAUUUUGUUUUUUUUUUAAUUGAUUUUUUUUUCAAAUUAAUCCUUCAACAUUGAGUUGAUUGGAAAUUGUGCUUUAUAAUUUAUUUUUAUUUAUUUUCUAUAGAUUAUCAUGGUUUCAUGACCCAAGUCGCAGGUUGCUUGAUUGCCUCGAGUUUUUUUUUCUUUUUUUUAAUUAUUUUUUUUCAAUUUCAUCCUUCAAUAUUGAGUUGAUUAAGCAUUAGAUUUCAUAAUUUAUUAAGCAUUAGAUUUCAUAAUUUAUUUUGGUUUGUUUACAUGAAGUUAUGACAACCUCAUGACUUAAGUCACAAGUUUGGUUGGUUAACUCAAGUGGUUUUUUCGUGCUCUUUUUUUAAUUGAUUUUUUUUUCAAUUUCAUCAUUUAAAAUUAGAUUGAUUGAGAAUUGAGCUUCAUAAUUUAUUUAAGUUUUUUUCUAUAUAGUUAUCUCAUUCUCAUAACUAAGAUAACCUAGGUUGACUCGACUUCUUUUUCUAAUUGAUUUUUUUUAAUUUUAUUAUUUAAUAUUGGAUUAAUUGAGAAAUGAGCUUAAUGAUUAUUUUUUAUUUACUUCUACAGGGUUAUCAAGGUUUUAUGAUAUGAGUUGGAGAUUUGAUAGGAUAACUUGAGUUGAUUCGAGUGAAUCCAAAUCGAUUUGAGUAAAUCUAAGUAGAUACAAUAUAUUAUUGUCUUACUAUUUUAAAAAUAAUAUCGUGCUGAAUUUUUUUUUGUCAAGUUACAUUUUUACCUGUUAUUUAAGUUGUUUUUAGAUCUAUAAAGUUGAUUAUAUCAUAUCAGGACAGUUUUUAUAUAAUUUAUUUAUUUAUUUUUGCUAGAAAAUAUAUUAAAUAAAUUACUUCAUCAACUUUGCCAAUAAAAACAUGAUAGGUUCGAAUCAUUUUCCAUUUAUAAUAGUGUUUAGAUAAGUGAAUGACCUCAUCAACUUUGCUAUUAAAAACAUAAUACGGGCAACCGUGUGAUUAUGGUUUGGAUCCAGGUCGGGACAAGUGCUGGAGUUCAUGAUCGUGACCACCUAGCAUCUUCGAAUAAUUCUCCUCUAUCACCCUUUUUUUUUUUAAUGCUUGUUUGGAAUAAGUUUUUGAGAUUAGUUGUGAUUAUGAUGUCAUUCUACUGUCAUUAAGAAUAAAUUAACUCUAACCGAGGAUUAAAACAGAUUUAUCAAAUACUUUUUGCACUGUGUCUAGCUAAUGGAGAAUAUAUUGAAAAGAAAAAUACCCUUGAGAAUUCACAGCCAAAAGCGUUAAUCACGUUUCUGUUUAAAACAGGAAAAGGCAUGCAAUAAUUGACAAAUGUUGCUUGAAAUCACAGCUAUCUUCCUUCUCUGAAACUUCAAUUGCUUUAUUAUACUUUUAUAGGCAUAGCCAAGUCAAGCCUGCACCGUGUGGAGCCUAAUCAAUAUAAUCAGAGACUGCUGUUUGCCUUUUCCAUUUUUCAUCUCAUACUGCUCUGUCUUCUCAAUAUUUACUUGCCAUUUCUUGCUCACCUCCCCUGCUUUUAGUUUUCCUUGCACCUUUUCUACCUCUUCUUUUCCAUUCCAAAACAAGCUAUGGCUGAUGCUAUUGUUUCUGCUCUCGCGAGUACAAUCGUGGGGAACUUAAAUUCCUUAUUUCUUCAAGAGCAUGGACUUGCUGGGGGCCUAGAGACUGAGCUUGAAAAUCUCAAGCGCACAUUCAGAACCAUUCAAGCUGUGCUGCAAGAUGCAGAGGAGAAGCAGUGGAAGAGUGAGCCUAUCAAGGUGUGGCUCAGCGACCUAAAGGAUGCUGCUUAUGUUGUUGAUGAUGUACUGGAUGAGUUUGUAAUUGGAGCUAAGUGGCUUCUGCAGCGAAGAGAUCUCAAAAAUCGAGUAAGAUCCUUCUUUUCUAGCAAACAUAAUCCAAUUGUUUUUCGACAAAGGAUGGCUCAUAAAUUGAAGAAUGUUAGAGAAAAACUAGAUGCCAUUGCCAAGGAGAGACAAAAUUUCCACCUAACAGAGGGGGCUGUGGAGAUGGAAGCAGAUAUUUUGUUCAGCGUCAGACUUGGUCUUCGGUGAAUGAAUCAGAAAUUUAUGGAAGAGGCGAGGAGAAAGAGGAACUAAUCAACAUGCUGCUCACUACUUCAGGUGAUCUCCCUAUUCAUGCUAUAAGGGGGAUGGGGGGGCUGGGUAAAACAACACUUGUUCAACUGGUCUUCAAUGAAGAAAGUGUUAAACAACAAUUCAGUUUGAGGAUCUGGGUGUGUGUAUCUACUGAUUUCGAUCUCAGAAGAUUAACAAGAGCCAUCAUAGAGUCCAUUGAUGGUUCCCCUUGUGGUCUUCAAGAAUUGGAUCCCUUGCAACAAUGCCUCCAACAAAAGUUAAAUGGAAAGAAGUUUUUGCUUGUAUUGGAUGAUGUGUGGGAUGAUUAUGGUGAUAGGUGGAAUAAAUUGAAGGAGGUAUUAAGGUGUGGAGCUAAAGGUAGUGCUGUCAUAGUAACUACGCGUAUUGAGAUGGUUGCUCUUAGAAUGGCAACAGCUUUUGUCAAGCACAUGGAGAGAUUGUCUGAAGAAGAUUCUUGGCGGUUGUUUCAACAGCUUGCAUUCGGGAUGAGAAGGAAAGAGGAGCGGGCACGUCUGGAAGCCAUUGGAGUAUCAAUAGUGAAGAAGUGUGGUGGUGUUCCUUUAGCUAUAAAGGCACUCGGGAACCUAAUGCGGUUAAAAGAAAGUGAAGAUCAGUGGAUAGCUGUCAAAGAAAGUGAGAUUUGGGAUCUAAGAGAAGAAGCAAGCAAGAUCUUACCUGCUUUGAGGUUGAGUUACACUAAUCUAUCACCACAUUUGAAGCAAUGCUUUGCGUAUUGCGCUAUAUUUCCAAAAGAUCACGUGAUGAGGAGGGAGGAGCUGGUUGCUUUGUGGAUGGCAAAUGGCUUUAUUUCUUGCAGAAGAGAAAUGGAUUUGCACGUCAUGGGCAUUGAGAUAUUCAAUGAACUAGUGGGAAGGUCAUUUCUGCAAGAGGUCGAGGAUGAUGGAUUUGGCAACAUAACAUGUAAAAUGCAUGAUCUUAUGCAUGAUCUUGCACAAUCCAUUGCAGUACAAGAAUGCUAUACGACAGAAGGCGAUGGGGAGUUGGAAAUUCCUAAAACUGCCCGUCAUGUUGCUUUUUAUAACAAAUCAGUAGCUUCGUCUUCUGAAGUUCUCAAGGUCCUAUCACUUCGCUCACUUCUUGUGAGGAAUGAACAGUAUGGGUAUGGAUGGGGAAAGAUUCCUGGUCGAAAACAUCGAGCCUUGAGUUUAAGAAAUAUCCGGGCCAAGAAAUUGCCGAAGUCAAUUUGUGAUUUGAAACAUCUAAGGUAUCUAGAUGUGUCAGGCUCGUUCAAAACACUGCCUGAAAGUACAACCUCUCUCCAAAACCUCCAGACACUAGAUCUGAGUUCUUGCAGCGAACUCAUCCAAUUACCAAAAGGUAUGAAGCACAUGAGAAAUCUUGUCUAUCUUGACAUAACGGGUUGUUAUUCACUUCGAUUUAUGCCUGCUGGAAUGGGGCAAUUGAUAUUCCUGCGAAAACUUACCCUGUUCAUUGUGGGUGGGGAGAAUGGUCGUCGCAUAAGUGAGCUGGAAGGGCUGAAUAAUCUUGCUGGUGAAUUGAGUAUCACAGAUCUUGUGAAUGUUAAGAAUUUAAAAGAUGCCACAAGUGCCAAUUUGAAGUUGAAGACAGCUCUUUUAUCACUGACUUUAUCUUGGCAUGGUAAUGGAGAUUACCUUUCUUACCCUUGGUUAAUUGUGCCACCGCAACAAAGAAAGAGUGUUAUUCAGGUAAAUAACGAGGAGGUCCUUGAAGGGCUUCAACCUCAUUCAAAUCUGAAGAAGUUGAGGAUAUGGGGAUAUGGAGGUUCAAGAUUUCCUAAUUGGAUGAUGAACUUGAACAUGACGCUACCAAAUCUGGUAGAGAUGGAGCUAUCAGCAUGUGACCACUGUGAACAACUUCCACCAUUGGGGAAACUGCAGUUCCUCAAGAGUCUUGUAUUGCGUGGAAUGGAUGGUGUGAAGAGUAUUGACAGCAAUGUGUAUGGAGAUGGGCACAAUCCAUUCCCAUCUUUGGAGACGCUGACUUUUAAGCACAUGGAGGGAUUAGAGCAAUGGGCUGCGUGUACUUUUCCUCGCCUUCGAGAAUUGGAGAUAGUCGGUUGCCCUGUGUUGAACGAAAUACCAAUUAUACCCUCCAUCAAAUCACUGCACAUCGAGGGAGUGAAUGCUUCGUUGCUGAUGUCAGUUAGGAAUCUCACUUCGAUCACUUCUCUUUAUAUUAGAGGGAUUGACGAUGUGAGGGAGCUUCCCGAUGGGAUUUUGCAAAAUCAUACCCUCCUUGAAAGCUUCCAUAUUAGUGAGAUGCGAGAUCUGGAGUCUUUGUCAAAUAGGGUAUUAGAUAACCUUUCUGCACUUCAAAAGUUGGAGAUAUGGGGUUGCGAGAAACUUGAAAGCUUGCCAGAGGAAGGUCUUCGUAACCUCAAUUCCUUGGAGGUUUUAGAGAUAUGUAGAUGUCCAAGAUUAAAUUGUCUGCCAAUGAAUGGGUUGUCUGGCUUAUCUUCUCUUCGGGAGUUACUUUUUCAACAUUGUGUUAAAUUAACAUCUCUCACUGAGGGAGUGCGGCAUCUGACGGCACUUGAGGAUUUGUUACUUAAUGGAUGUCCAGAGCUAAAUUCAUUGCCAGAGAGUAUCCAACUUCUCACUUCUCUCCAAUCUCUAAGAAUAUGGGACUGCGAGGGAUUAACUUCUUUGCCAAAUCAGAUUGGAUAUCUCACUUCUCUCCAAUCUCUACAUAUAUGGAACUGCAAGGGAUUAACUUCUUUGCCAAAUCAGAUUGGAUAUCUCACUUCUCUCCAAUCUCUACUCAUUGAGGGUUGUCCAAAUUUGAAGAAAAGGUGUGAGAAAGAUUUAGGCGAAGACUGGUCUAAGAUAGCUCACAUUCCUAAUAUUAGUAUAAAUUGAUAUGCAAAAUUGUUAAAAUAAUUUCUCAUUAACAUUGAAUGAGAAUAAAAUAUAUAUUUUCUUAGUUUUAAUUUGUUGUAAUUGUUUAAAUAACUUUAACAAAGAUUAAUUUCUUUGUAUCCUAAAUUGAAAAUGUUUGGAUUUGCGAGCUUUGUCAUUCAAGAUCGCUGUGCGCUUCACGUGGAAAUACACUCGCUCGAUUGCCUAUAGUUGACCCAGCCUUUUAUCCAUUAUAUUUUAUUUCGAUCAAAACGACCUUUUCAUGUAAAAUUUUCUAAACUUAAAAUACGCAUCGCUCGCACCAGAAAGUAUAUAGAGAGCAUCAAUACAAACAAACUGGAAAAUCGAAAUCUAAUCCAUCCAAAUAAUAAACUUAUUACAAAACAAUGGAGACGGCAAUUUGAGUAACAAUUCAAGACUGUAAUUUAACAAAAAGCUUCAUGAUGCUUUAUGAAAUGAAAAUUGUUUACACAAAACAAUAAAGAAUGAGCUCAUAAGCAUGGUCUUUUAGUCUGUAUGAAGACGUAAUUUUACUUAAUUAAUUGAAACUAAUAAUAUUAAACAAGAGGAGCUAAUUGAUUGAGUCUUGGAUCGAGACGUAAUGUUACUUAAUUCUGAAUCAAUUGGUUAUAUGUACUUAAUUUGCUUGUUUGUAUCACUAAUUACUACUGCCUCCCGGCGUAAAUCUCAAGGGAAGUGGAAUUAACAAAGAUUAAUAUCAUAAUCUAAACUUCAUUUCUUGCAAGCAAUAUAAUAAAACUAUACCCAAGUCUCAGGUUUAAUUUAGUUUCCCUUUGAUUUUCAGCUCCACAACCAUUAUCUUUUAGAUAGCCAAAGGUCAUUUUCCAGGCUAAAAGACCACUAAAACUCGCAACGUCCACUGCCAAAACAGAAAUAUCCCAUGAUUUUCCUCAAGGCCUUUUCAAGGUAUACAAAGAUGGCCGCAUAGAGAGAUAUUGGAACAUUGACUUCGUUUCAGGAGGCGUCGACACAGAAACAGGGGUCCAUUCCAAAGAUGUUGUGAUCUCACCAGUGACCAACGUCAAGGCUCGUAUUUUCCUCCCAAAAAUCGACGGCCCAGCUAAAAAGCUCCCUCUCCUCGUCCACUAUCAUGGUGGUGGCUUUUGCAGAGGCUCACCAUUUACUUCUGCCUUGAAGAAUUUUCUUUCAACCCUAGCCACCCAAGCCGAUGUCACCGCUAUAUUGACUACAGGUUAGCACCUGAACACCAAUUACCGAUUGCAUACGAUGAUUCAUGGGCAGGGCUUAAGUGGAUCGUGAAGCACUCUAAUGGUAAUGGACCCGAACCAUGGAUUAAUGAAUAUGCGGAUCUCGGGCGGGUUAUUUUAGCCGGCGAGAGUGCUGGAGGCACCAUAGCCCAUUAUGUGGCUGUCCAAGCUGGGGCUGCGGGAUUGGCUGCCGUGGCUAUAGAAAGGUUACUAAUAGUGCACCCAUAUUUUUGGGCUAAGGAGCCAGACAAGUUCUACCAAUAAAUAUGUCCAACAAGUUCUGGGGCAGAUGAUCCAAAAUUGAACCCGGCAGUGGAUCCGAAUUUGUCGAAAUUUAAGUGUGAUAAAGUGUUAGUUUGUGUGGCAGAAAAAGGAUAAGCAUAGAGGCAGAGGUAUGGCUUAUUAUAAGCUAUGAGCGAGUGUGGAUGGGGUGGUACUGUGAAUUUUUAUGAAACUGAAGGGGAGGACCAUUGCUUUUAUUUGCUGAAUCCCAAGAGCGAGAAUAUCGAGCCCCUGGUGAAAAAAAUUGUUGAUUUCAUACGGCUGGAUUGAUUUUUUGAGUUUUAUUAAGUGGGAAUCAACAACUUAAUUUUCAGCAAUGGUGAGAGCAGAAAAAUAAUGGUUGAAUUUAAGUUUGUUUGGAUUGUAUUUUGUUUUUUAAUUUUUUAAUAUAUGUACUUUCAAAUGCCAUAUAAAAUGUGCCAUUAUGUUUAUUGCAUUCUUUUGGGCCAUUUUGGCUUGGCAGCACUUUUGUUUUUUAAAUAUUGGUGAAAUAAUACAAAAAAAAAUAAAAAAUAGUGAAAUAAUACAAUUUAUACAUGUCAAUGAAUGGAAAAUGCAAUAUAACUCAGUUUAUGCAGGUCGUGAUUGAAAAAUACUAUACUUAUAACUUGUUGCUAUUAGAAUAACAACUUCUAUAAAAACAUUUAUGAAAAAAACAAGAAACAUAAGAGAGAAAGGAAUCUAAAAAGGAAAGGAUAACUCUUAAAAAGAAUGCCAUCAACAAUAAUCCAAGUGAGUUACAUUUGUUUCUACAGAUGACGAAUAACUUACUUGCUUUUGGUGCUAAUUGUAAUUGUGAUUCACUAGGAUUGUUGUCGUUGAUCUUAUUUGUUGUUAUUGUAUUUAUCCCGUCAAAAUCUUUUUGUUGUUGUAGAAGUCAUUAUUCUGAAUAGCAACAAGCUAUAAAUAUCGUGUUUUUCUAAUUGCGACAUGUACAAACUAUGAUAUUGCACUAAUUAUUUUUAAUUAUAUGUUAUUCUACUAAUAUUCUUCAUUUAAUGUGCUAUUUUUUUUAAUCAUUCUUUCGCUUCCCUUAUUUCUUCAUUCUAGGUGCAAACAAAGUAAAAUAUCAUAAAGUAAAUAUUUCAUGUUUAUAUUUAGUCAACUAAUUUGGUUUAAUUAAAAAAAUACCUUUUUAAAAGCCAACUUUAAUAAAGAACAACAAUAAAAAAAAACCCUAAAAUAACCCAAGUUAUUUUCCAAAUUAAUGAGAAAUCUUGUAGAAAACAAAUAAAAAUAUAAUGGAGUUCAAUAUUUAAUUAAAUAAAUACUAAAAGAUAAAAUUAAAAAAAACACAAGUUUAAAAAAAAGAAAAAAAAAAGAGUAAGCAAACUUAGAAAUAUUUUCUAAACCUGAAUUAAUAUUUCAAAUUCAGAAAUCAUAAAAUUCUAGACUCCAACUUAAUAUAAAAACUCAAUCUCUAAUUAAUUUAAUAUUAAAUAAUGUAAUAAAUUUUCUCGAAUGGGAUUAAUCUUACCAUUUAAAAAAAGUGUGAUGAUACUCGGGUAAGAAAAAAAAAUGUUAGAAAAACUUGAAAUUUUGACGUUUGAAUAUAUAUUCAAUUUUGACGUCUUCAAGAUCUUGGACUUGCUGGGGGCCUAAGGACCGAGCUUGAAAAUCUCAAGCGCACGUUCAGAACCAUUCAAGCUGUGCUGCAAGAUGCAGAGGAGAAGCAGUGGAAGAGUGAGCCUAUCAAGGUGUGGCUCAGCGACCUCAAGGAUGCAGCUUAUGUUGUUGACGAUGUACUGGAUGAGUUUGCAAUUGAAGCUCAGUGGCUUCUGCAGCGAAGAGAUCUCAAAAAUCGAGUAAGAUCCUUCUUUUCUUUUGGUCAUAAGCCACUAGUUUUUCGAUUGAAAAUGGGGCUUAAAUUGAAAAAUGUGAGAGAAAAACUGGAUGCCAUUGCCAAUGAGAAAAACAAGUUCAAUUUAACACCACGAGUUGGGGACACAGCAGCUGAUACCUACGAUUGGCGGCUUACCAGCUCACUCGUGAAUGAAUCAGAAAUUUAUGGAAGAGGCAAGGAGAAAGAAGAACUAGUUAACAUCCUGCUCGCAAAUUCAGACAACCUCCCUAUUUAUGCUAUAUGGGGAAUGGGGGGACUCGGGAAAACAACACUUUCUCAAAUGGUCUACAAUGAAGAAAGGGUUAAACAACAUUUCAGUUUGAGGAUCUGGGUGUGUGUAUCUACUGAUUUCGAUGUAAGAAGAUUAACAAGAGCCAUCAUAGAGUCCAUUGAUGGUGCUUCAUGUGAUAUUCAAGAAUUGGAUCCCUUGCAACAACGCCUCCAACAAAAGUUAACUGGAAAAAGGUUUUUGCUUGUAUUAGAUGAUGUGUGGGAUGAUUAUGAUGAUAGGUGGAAUAAAUUGAAAGAGGUAUUAAGGUCCGGAGCUAAAGGUAGUGCUGUGUUGGUAACUACGCGUAUUGAGAUGGUUGCUCGUAGAAUGGCAACAGCUUUUGUCCAGCACAUGGGGAGAUUGUCUGAAGAAGAUUCUUGGCAUUUGUUUCAACGGCUUGCAUUUUGGAUGAGAAGGAAAGAGGAGUGGGCACACCUGGAAGCCAUUGGAGUAUCAAUAGUGAAGAAGUGUGGUGGUGUUCCUUUAGCUAUAAAGGCACUCGGGAACCUAAUGCGGCUAAAAGAUAAUGAAGAUCAGUGGAUAGCUGUCAAAGAAAGUGAGAUUUGGGAUCUAAGAGAAGAAGCAAGCAAGAUCUUACCUGCUUUGAGGUUGAGUUACACUAAUCUAUCACCACAUUUGAAGCAAUGCUUUGCGUAUUGCGCUAUAUUUCCAAAAGAUCACGUGAUGAGGAGGGAGGAGCUGGUUGCUUUGUGGAUGGCAAAUGGCUUUAUUUCUUGCAGAAAAGAAAUGGAUUUGCAUGUCAUGGGUAUUGAGAUAUUCAAUGAACUAGUGGGAAGGUCAUUUCUGCUAGAGGU
rnacentral:lncRNA from 1 species